UAUCUCUGUAGAGUCUGCAUAUCAAUAAGCGGAGGAAAAGAAACUAACAAGGAUUCCCCUAGUAACGGCGAGUGAAGCGGGAAGAGCUCAAAUUUGAAAUCUUCAAGGUUUGACCUUGACGAAUUGUAGUUUAAAGAAGUGUUUUCUGUUAGAUGAGUAGCAAAAGUUCCUUGGAAUGGGACGUCAUAGAGGGUGAGAAUCCCGUAUUUGGUUAUUCAUUCUAGCUUUGUGAUACACUUUCAAAGAGUCGGAUUGUUUGGGAAUGCAGUCCAAAAUGGGUGGUAAACUUCAUCUAAAGCUAAAUAUUGGCGAGAGACCGAUAGCGAACAUGUACCGUGAGGGAAAGAUGAAAAGAACUUUGAAAAGAGAGUUAAACAGUACGUGAAAUUGUCAAAAGGGAAGCGUUUGACACCAGUGUUGUUUUUCCGAAAAUCAAUUACGAAUGGCUUGAUUUUGUGUUGUAUUGACCUUAUCAGCUUUCUUCACUUUUUUCGAGUCUUUCUUAAUGCACUUUUCGGUUAACAAGUCAACAUCAAUUUCUUUUGUUGUAAAAGAGUAUUCGGAAGGUGGCUUUCUUUUCGGAGAAAGUGUUUAUAGCCCUAUACUUCUACAAUCGGAGAGAUUGAGGUCUGCAGCGUAGAUCCUUCGGGGCUAGAUACACUUGUGCUAAGUUGUAGCUUUUCAUAGACAACUUGUUGACUAUGUUUAGUCAUGCGGCUUACUCGCUUGUGCUAUUUUACCUACGCUUAGGAUGUUGACUGAUAUGUAGUCGUA
rnacentral:rRNA from 1 species